rnacentral:rRNA from 1 species
GAUGAACGCUGGCGGCGUGCCUAAUACAUGCAAGUCGAGCGAACGGACGAGAAGCUUGCUUUUCUGAUGUUAGCGGCGGACGGGUGAGUAACACGUGGAUAACCUACCUAUAAGACUGGGAUAACUUCGGGAAACCGGAGCUAAUACCGGAUAAUAUUUUGAACCGCAUGGUUCAAAAGUGAAAGACGGUCUUGCUGUCACUUAUAGAUGGAUCCGCGCUGCAUUGGCUAGUUGGUAAGGUAACGGCUUACCAAGGCAACGAUGCAUAGCCGACCUGAGAGGGUGAUCGGCCACACUGGAACUGAGACACGGUCCAGACUCCUACGGGAGGCAGCAGUAGGGAAUCUUCCGCAAUGGGCGAAAGCCUGACGGAGCAACGCCGCGUGAGUGAUGAAGGUCUUCGGAUCGUAAAACUCUGUUAUUAGGGAAGAACAUAUGUGUAAGUAACUGUGCACAUCUUGACGGCACCUAAUCAGAAAGCCACGGCUAACUACGUG